UACGUAGGCAGCAAGCGUUGUUCGGAGUUACUGGGCGUAAAGGGCGCGUAGGCGGAUAGUUUAGUCAGAGGUGAAAGCCCAGGGCUCAACCUUGGAAUUGCCUUUGAUACUGGCUAUCUUGAGUUCGGGAGAGGUGAGUGGAAUGCCGAGUGUAGAGGUGAAAUUCGUAGAUAUUCGGCGGAACACCAGUGGCGAAGGCGACUCACUGGCCCGAUACUGACGCUGAGGCGCGAAAGCGUGGGGAGCAAACAGG
rnacentral:rRNA from 1 species